rnacentral:hammerhead_ribozyme from 1 species
GUACUGCUGAAGAGUCCCAAACUAGGACGUAGGAAACAGCUGUCUAGUAC